rnacentral:rRNA from 1 species
ACCCGCUGAACUUAAGCAUAUCAGUAAGCGGAGGAAAAGAAACUAACUAGGAUUCCCCGAGUAGCGGCGAGCGAAAGGGGAGAAGCCCAGCGCCGAAGCCCGCGGCCUCUGGUCGCAGUGCAAUGUGGCGUUACGGUGGCGGCUCGCCGCAGCAGCUCUGGCACGAGUACCUCUGAAUGGGUCUGCCCGCAGCGGGUGUCAGGCCUCUACUUGCCUACGAGUUGCUGUGGCCCGCCGUUCAUCGCGGAGUCGGGUUGCUUGAGAGUGCAGCCCAAAGUGGGUGGUAAGCUCCAUCUAAGGCUAAAUACCUAGUGCGAGACCGAUAGCAAACAAGUACCGUGAGGGAAAGUUGCAAAGAACUUUGAAAAGAGAGUUCAAGAGUACGUGAAACCGUUCAGAGGCAAACGGACGGAACUGGGCGAGUUCGUCGCCGCCACUCAGCCGCCGACUCGUCGGCGGUGCACUUGGCGGCGGCGGAGCGCGACGACCGCCUGUCGGGUCGUCAGAAGCCCGGCGGCAAGGUGGCGACGCGUUCGCGCGUCGUGUUACAGGCCGCCGAGGCGUUGGCAGACUUGGCGGGCGAGGAGCGCCUGCGGUGCACUCCCCGCGCGGGAGUGACCCGUCGCGGUGGGCUUGCGGACGCCGGCGGCGAACUGCGUGCAGUUCGUCGUCGCGUCGCUCCGUCUGUCACGCCGCGCGGUGUCACGUGGCACCCAGGGUCCGAGUCGCGUGGUUCCUGGCACUCCGUCCGACCCGUCUUGAAACACGGACCAAGGAGUUGAGCACGCGCGCAAGUCGAUGGGCUCCAAGAACCCCAGAGGCGCAGCUAAGGCAAAACGGGCGUGAUCCGGCACUGGCGUGUCGGCGCAACGCCGGCCCGCAGCCGACUCGAUGCAAGUGGCUGCGGCGCAAGAGCGUGUGUGCUCAGACCCGAAAGGUGGUGAACUAUGCUUGAGCAGGGCGAAGCCAGAGGAAACUCUGGUGGAGGCUCGCAGCGAUCCUGACGUGCAAAUCGGUCGUCAAACUUGAGCAUAGGGGCGAAAGACUAAUCGAACCGCCUAGUAGCUGGUUCCCUCCGAAGUUUCCCUCAGGAUAGCUGGCACUCGGGAUAAAUGGUUUUAUCCGGUAAAGCGAAUGAUUAGAGGCAUUGGGGACGAAACGUCCUCAACCUAUUCUCAAACUUUAAAUGGGUAAGAGGCGCGACCCUUCCUGAUCGGGGUCGCGUGCUUGAACAGAGAGUGCCCAGUGGGCCGUUUUUGGUAAGCAGAACUGGCGCUGUGGGAUGAACCAAACGUGCGGUUAGGGUGCCUAACGCACGCUCAUGAGAUACCACAAAAGGUGUUGGUUGAUAUAGACAGCAGGACGGUGGCCAUGGAAGUCGGAAUCCGCUAAGGAGUGUGUAACAACUCACCUGCCGAAUCAACUAGCCCUGAAAAUGGAUGGCGCUGGAGCGUGCGACCCAUACCGCACCGUCGGGGCAAUGCGUGCGAAAUGCCAGGCCCCGACGAGUAGGAGGGCGUGUCGGUGGCGUUGAAGCGUAGUGCGCGAGCACGCGUGGAGCCGCCUUCAGUGCAGAUCUUGGUGGUAGUAGCAAGUAUACAAAUGAGAACUUUGUAGACCGAAGUGGAGAAGGGUUCCAUGUGAACAGCAGUUGGACAUGGGUCAGUCGGCCCUAAGAGAUCGGAGAAUUCCGUUCUGAACGGGGGAGGCGCACGCCGUCUGAACACUGUUCAGGUGAGGAAGCGGCGUAAUGUGCGUGGCUGCCCCCGAUGCGAUCGAAAGGGAAUCGGGUUAAUAUUCCCGAACCUGGUAGUGGAGAUUGGGCCCUCGGGCCCCAGUGCGGUAACGCAACCGAACUCGGAGACGCCAGCGUCGAUCCCGGGAAGAGUUCUCUUUUCUUUGUUAGGAGCGGACUCCCUGGAAUUGGCUUGUCCAGAGAUAGGGACGUUGCAUCCGUAAAGCGUCGCGCCUCAUGCGGCGUCCGGUGCAUCGGCGUUGGCCCUUGAAAAUCCGAGGGAGGCAGUGUGAUUUUCACUCCAGGCCGUACCCGAAUCCGCAGCAGGUCUCCAAGGUGAACAGCCUCUGGUCGAUAGAACAAUGUAGGUAAGGGAAGUCGGCAAAUCCGAUCCGUAACUUCGGGACAAGGAUUGGCUCUGAGGUGCGGGCUGCUUCGGGUCGCGGCAAGAAGCGGACCGCGCGUCGGUAGGACUGGACGCGCCCUGCGCGUUCGGACCGCCGCCGGCGUGCGUCCGUGGGAGGCCGUGGCUUUCGCCGGCGCUGGUCUUCGGGCCGGCGUCGGCUUCGUUCGGCCUAAACGCACAGCACAGAACUGGCACGGACUCUGGGAACACGACUGUCUAAUUAAAACAAAGCAUCGCGAUGGCCGCUGGUCGGUGUUGACGCGAUGUGAUUUCUGCCCAGUGCUUUGAAUGUCAAAGUGAAGAAAUUCAACCAAGCGCAGGUAAACGGCGGGAGUAACUAUGACUCUCUUAAGGUAGCCAAAUGCCUCGUCAUCUAAUUAGUGACGCGCAUGAAUGGAUUAACGAUGUUCCCACUGUCCCUAUCUACUAUCUAGCGAAACCACAGCCAAGGGAACGGGCUUGGCAAAUACAGCGGGGAAAGAAGACCCUGUUGAGCUUGACUCUAGUUUGACAUUGUGAAGAGACACGAAAGGUGUAGCAUAGGUGGGAGACGCUCGCGCGUCAACAAUGAAAUACCACUACUUCCGUAGUUUCUUUACUUAUUCAGUAAGACGGAAGGCGAGCGGCCCGCGCGGUCGUUCGGCAUUCUGGCGUUGCAAGCCGU